rnacentral:rRNA from 1 species
GGGGGGGGCAAGCGUUGUUCGGAAUUACUGGGCGUAAAGGGCGCGUAGGCGGCCUACUAAGUCGGACGUGAAAUCCCUCGGCUCAACCGAGGAACUGCGUCCGAUACUGGCAGGCUGGAAUCCGGGAGAGGGAUGUGGAAUUCCAGGUGUAGCGGUGAAAUGCGUAGAUAUCUGGAGGAACACCGGUGGCGAAGGCGGCAUCCUGGACCGGUAUUGACGCUGAGGCGCGAAAGCUAGGGGAGCAAACGGGAUUAGAUACCCCGGUAGUCCUAGCCCUAAACGAUGAGUGCUUGGUGUGGCGGGUAUCGAUCCCUGCCGUGCCGAAGCUAACGCAUUAAGCACUCCGCCUGGGGAGUACGGUCGCAAGGCUG